UUAAUAUGCAAUGUUUGCUUAAGUGAACCAUCAGUUUAUAUAAAGGGAAAAAUUUGACUUCAACUUUAUUCCUUCGCUGGAAGAUUCUCUGACAAGAAUAAAUUAUGAAGACUAUUUUAAUAUUAUGUUUGAUUUUCUGCGUCGCGGCAGCAACAUUCUAUUGUCCAGCAAAACAAAAAUAUUUCUUCUGCUUUCAUUCGAGGACCCAAUGCUGCGAUGAUUACGACUGUGAAGGCAAUAAGAUAUGCUGUACCGAAAAAUGUGGUAAUCGAUGCCAAACACCAGUUAAAAUGAACACAACUGGAACGCGAGUGCCUUAUGAUGCAAAGUGCAAAGUUGAGCCACCUAAU